GGAGUUAGCCGGUGCUUCUUCUGUGAGUGAUGUCCUUCCUGCCGGCUAUUAACCCGCAGGCCUUCUUCCUCACUGAAAGUGCUUUACAACCCGAAGGCCUUCUUCACACACGCGGCAUGGCUGGAUCAGGGUUGCCCCCAUUGUCCAAUAUUCCCCACUGCUGCCUCCCGUAGGAGUCUGGGCCGUGUCUCAGUCCCAGUGUGGCUUAUCAUCCUCUCAGACCAGCUACGGAUCGUCGCCUUGGUGAGCCGUUACCUCACCAACCAGCUAAUCCGACAUAGGCUCAUCCGAUAGCGCGAGGCCCGAAGGUCCCCCGCUUUCCCCCGUAGGGCGUAUGCGGUAUUAGCCUGGGUUUCCCCAGGUUAUCCCCCACUACCGGGCAGAUUCCUAUGCAUUACUCACCCGUCCGCCGCUCGCCACCAGGGAGCAAGCUCCCCGUGCUGCCGCUCGACUUGCAUGUGUUAGGCCUGCCGCCAGCGUUCAAUCUGAGCCAUGAUCAAACUCUGA
rnacentral:rRNA from 1 species